UAGAUACCCUGGUAGUCCGCACGGUAAACGAUGGAUGCCCGUUUUUGGCUUAUUUUAGCCAGAGACCAAGCGAAAGCAUUAAGCAUCCCACCUGGGGAGUACGCCGGCAACGGUGAAACUCAAAGGAAUUGACGGGGGCCCGCACAAGCGGAGGAACAUGUGGUUUAAUUCGAUGAUACGCGAGGAACCUUACCCGGGCUUGAAUUGCAGACGACGUAUUUAGAGAUAGAUAUUCACUUCGGUGCGUCUG
rnacentral:rRNA from 1 species